AUUGAAACACCAGUUUCCAUACGAUCACCAAAGUUAAGCAACGUCAAGCCUGGUCAGUACUUAGAUGGGUGAUGCUUGGGAAUACCAGGUGCUGUAAG